GGGCUCACACAAGCGGUGGAGCAUGUGGUUCAAUUCGAAGCAACGCGCAGAACCUUACCUGGGCUUGACAUGCUAGGAUUAUCCCUAUGAAAGUAGGGUAGGCCCUUCGGGGUACAACUAGUACAGGUGCUGCAUGGCUGUCGUCAGCUCGUGUCGUGAGAUGUCGGGUUAAGUCCCUUAACGAGCGAAACCUUUGCCCUUAGUUACCAUCGGGUUAUGCCGGGGACUCUAAGGGGACUGCCGGUGUCAAACCGGAGGAAGGUGGAGAUGACGUCAAGUCCUCAUGGCCUUUAUGCCCAGGGCCACACACGUGCUACAAUGGCGUUCACAAAGCGACCCUAAAGCGCGAGCUCAUGGAAAUCGCAGAAAUAACGCCCCAGUUCAGAUAGGAGGCUGCAACUCGCCUCCUUGAAGUUGGAAUCGCUAGUAAUCGCGGAUCAGCUACGCCGCGGUGAAUGUGUUCCUGAGCCUU
rnacentral:rRNA from 1 species